CUUUUCAUCUCUAAGCCAAGCCGGGCUUGCCGGAGUGGAUAAAACACGUGCAUUUUUUUCAGGUUAGUUGAAAUGCCGGCGAAUCAACGAGUAGCAUACACGUUCCAAAGUAAGUUUGGGACUCAACAAGGCGAUGGUGCCCCAGCGUGAAACUUUUGGAGAGACGCGUCCUAGUUUCUUCGCCCUACAACCCUACAAGCCGAAAGGAAGAAUAACAAUGCAGAUGUCAAAUGUGUUGCCGGGGUUUUUGGCCAUGAUUCUAUAAUUUCUUUUCAAAUUCCAUCGGUGAUAUGGCGGCCCGCCUGCGAAGGUCUUCCAAAUCUUCACCGGGAACAACACUGCUCCUGUGUCGAGAGACUACCUGUGUCGAGGAAAACUUUUGCCAUCUCAAAGGGGCCCAUUUCUACAAUGUCUGGAUUAAAUUGGUAAAAAAUGGAUUUGACGUCGGCUAUUCAACGAGCAGAAGUUCCAAAGUCAAGUUGAGAGGCUGCAAAGUGAUGUUCCGCCAGACGAAGGCCUUUGAGAGAUGACGGCUUUGGCAUUUGAUAACGAGUUGUUGACAUUACAAACACUCCUCCGCAUAUCGAAUACGAAGAUGGGCGAGUGCUACUCCUUAACUUCCCGUAUCCCAGCACAUGAAUUUGUUAGAUGUCGGACGAGUUUAAACUUGCCGAAGUUUAGAUCCAACCACAAUUUUGAUUUCUAUGGUUUCCCGCAGCUAAGUUCUAAACUCAGGUUGAGCUUCAAAAAGAGAUGGCACAGCAAAUGGACACCUUUAAAGGGCAUUUGAUAACGUCUUCUUAAAAUUAUUAAUACUCUUCCGCAUGAAGAAUACGAAUAUGUGCGGCCGCAUCACUCGCACCUUCAAAGAAUUAUUUCCUUUAUCUACUCGAGAUUGUCUUGAAGCGGUUUCGACCAAUAGUUACAAGUUUUAAAGC
rnacentral:sRNA from 1 species